AGAAUACUCAAACACUCACCAUGAACACAUUGGAUACACCGGUUAUUUUACCAAGGCUUUGGCUGGAAUGUUACAUUUUUGAAUGUGACCAAACUGCUUUGAGGAAUUGAGGCUGACUUUAUAAAGCCAAUAGACAUGGGAAAGACUGGCCUCAUGCCUUGCCCACACGGUUCUCUUACAAGGUUCCUCAGCUUGCGGUUUUGGUAUCAGGAUGACACCAAAAGCAAUGGCAACAAAAGCCAAAAUUGACAAAUGGAAUCUAAUUAAACUAAAGAGCUUCUGCACAGCAAAAGAAACUAUCAUCAGAGUGAACAGGCAACCUACAGAAUGGGAGAAAAUUCCUGCAAUCUAUCCAUCUGACAACGGGCUAAUAUCCAGAAUCUACAAGGAACUUAAACAAAUUUACAAGAAAAAAGCAAACAACCCCAUCAAAAAAUAGGUGAAGAAUAUGAACAGACACUUCUCAAAAGAAGACAUACAUGCAGCCAACAAACAUAUGAAAAAAAGCUUAUCAUCACUGGUCAUUAGAGAAAUGCAAAUCAAAACCACAAUGAGAUACCAUCUCAUGCCAGUUAGAAUGCAGAUCAUUAAAAAGUCAGGAAACAACAGGUGCUGGAGAAAUAGGAACGCUUUUACACUGUUGGUGGGAGUGUAAAUUAGUUCUACCAUUGUGGAAGACAGUGUGGCGAGGAUCUAGAAUCAAAAAUGCCUUUUGACCCAGCAAUCCCAUUACUGUGUAUAUACCCAAAGGAUUAUAAAUUAUUCUACUAUAAAGACAUAUGCACACAUAUGUUUAUUGCAGCACUAUUCACAAUAGCAAAGUCUUGAAACCCAAAUGCCCAUCAAUGAUAGACUGGAUUAAGCAAAUGUGGCACAUAUACACCACGGAAUACUAUGCAGCCAUGGAAAAGGAUGAGUUCAUGUCCUUUGUAGGGACAUGGAUGAAGCUGGAAACCAUCAUUCUCAGCAAACUAUCUCAGGGACAAAAAUACAAACACCACAUGUUCUCACUUAUAGGUGGGAAUUGAACAAUGAGAACACUUGGACACAGGAAGGGGAACAUCACACACUGGGGCCUGUUGAGGGGUGGUAGGUGGGGGGAGGGAUAGCAUUAGGAGAUAUACCUAAUGUAAAUGACGAGUUAAUGGGUGCAGCACACCAACAUGGCACAUGUAUACAUAUGUAACAAACCUGCACAUUGUGCACAUGUACCCUAGAACUUAAAGUAUAAUAAUUAAAAAAAAGAAAUUUGAUCCCCAAUGUUGAAGGUGGGGCCUAGUGGGAGAUGUUUGGGUCAUGGUGGUGGAUCUCUUAUUAAUAGACUGAUUUCCUGGGGUGAUGAGGGGAGUGAGUGAGUUCUUAGUUUGUUAGUUCUGCUAGAGAUGGUUGCAAAAAAUAGCUUGACACCUUCCCUCUUUCUCUUUUUUUCACUUCCUCUCCCACUGUGUGAUCUCUAUACUCUGCCUCUCCUUCCCCUUCAGCCAUAAGUGGAAGCAGCUUGAGGUCCUCAUCAGAUGUAGAUGCUGGCACCAUGCUUCUUGUACAGACUGAAGAGCCAUGAACUAAAUAAAUCUCCCUUCUUUGUAAAUUACCCAGUCUCGGGUAUUUCUUUGCAGCAAUGCUAACAGACUAAAACAUUACUACAAUUGCAUUGAUCUUCAGAUAGAUAACAAAAGAUGAGUCAAUUGACAAACCAUUGAAAAUUAAAUGUGAGAACCAGAGUGUCAGUCACUCACAAAGAGGUCCUCAUCUCUUGCAACAAGCAGGCAGAAAAAAUGGAGAUCAUUUUCAGGGUUCAGUAGUCACAGUGGCUGAACUUCAAUGAUACCUGCAUGCUUAAUCAAGGUAGCUAUGUUAAGCCAAAUCUGGAGCCAGAGUUGGAAAAAAUCUAAGGCUUUGACACAUGGGAUAAGAAUUCUAGGUGGAUGCCUCCAAAGAUCUGGACUUCAAAGAUAUCACUAAACUUUCUAACACUGCAGAAGUGACCAACCCCUCCCUAUUCAGGGCAGGAAGACUAUCGAAGAGGCGCACGAUCAGAAACUGCCUUCCCCUCUUUUCCUCAACACCAGGCCUAUAAAUAUGGUUAAGUCACAGCACAGCUCAGCCAGGGAAAUAAGGAAAGAAUGGAACAAUACCACAAAAGAACUGCAAGAUCUAACAGACCUUCACCAACAAGGGGAGAACCAUGGUACUUGUCCUGAGGGUGCUGGACCAGGAGGCUGGUAGGCAAGGCUGGAUAAGUGAAAGUUUAUUGACCUGAUCUGGAAAGAAAAGAAAGGGAGUUUGGCAGCAGGGAGGUCUAGGGUAGAGGCAUAUUGAUAGGCAUAUGGAGUGGGCAUAAAGUGUGAAGGUCUUUGUAUCUUGUGUUAACACCUGGUCAGUAGGUAAAAUGACUCACCCAGUUGACAAAUUAGCCUACUUCUUCUGUCAGCAACCACCCCAGUGCUGGCAUGAUGCCCACAAGAACAAAGUGGCCUGGCAGCAGAGAUAAAGGCUAUGCAAAAGCCCAAGCAACGUGGAACUCAUUUACCAAGACCAACCAGAUUUACUAGUUAUAAUGUGUAACUCCUCAAAAAAAUUACAAAUCAGUGCAUAGACCAUAUACAAAUAUACCCAUACACAUUUAGAAUUAAUGUGAUAUGAUUUCAUAUUGUAAUUCCUUAAACACAAAUUCAGUCAACUCUAUAUGAAUUGAAAUAAUACCAGUAAACAAUUCAGAUAUUUAUGUCAAAUUUCAUAUGUAAUAGAGACCACGUAAACAAUCAGUAGGGAUUUGUUUAACAAUUAUAAACCUAAAACCAGUUUAA
rnacentral:lncRNA from 1 species